GACGAACGCUGGCGGCGUGGAUUAGGCAUGCAAGUCGAACGGUAGGAUACCUUCGGGUAUCUGAGAGUGGCGAACGGGUGAGUAACACGUAGGUGAUCUACCCUCAAGAUUGGGACAACCCAGGGAAACUUGGGCUAAUACCGGAUGAAAGCAGCAGUGAUGUUGUUUGAAAGGUGGCGUAAGCUGCCGUUUGGGGAUGAGCCUGCGCUCUAUUAGUUAGUUGGCGGGGUAAAGGCCCACCAAGGCGAUGAUAGAUAGGCGGCCUUAACGGGUGGUCGCCCACACUGGGAUUGAGAUACGGCCCAGACUCCUACGGGAGGCAGCAGUCGAGAAUAGUCUACAAUGGCCGAAAGGCUGAUAGUGCGACGCCGCGUGAACGAAGAAGCCCUUCGGGGUGUAAAGUUCUUUUAUAUGUGAGCAGUGCUUUCUAUGUGAACAGCAUGGGGAGAGAGAUAUUAGCAUAUGAAUAAGCAACGGCUAACUCCGUGCCAGCC
rnacentral:rRNA from 1 species